rnacentral:rRNA from 1 species
GAUCGGAUACUGGGCGUAAGCGCACGCAGGCGGUCUGUCAAGUCGGAUGUGAAAUCCCCGGGCUCAACCUGGGAACUGCAUCCGAAACUGGCAGGCUAGAGUCUUGUAGAGGGGGGUAGAAUUCCAGGUGUAGCGGUGAAAUGCGUACAGAUCUGGAGGAAUACCGGUGGCGAAGGCGGCCCCCUGGACAAAGACUGACGCUCAGGUGCGAAAGCGUGGGGAGCAAACAGGAUUAUAUACCCUGGUAGUCCACGCCGUAAACGAUGUCGACUUGGAGGUUGUGCCCUUGAGGCGUGGCUUCCGGAGCUAACGCGUUACUUCCACCGCCUGGGGAGUACGGCCGCAAGGUUAAAACUCAUAUGAAUUGAGGGGGGCCCGCACAACCGGUGGAGCAUGUGGUUUAAUUCGAUGCAACGCGAAAAAGCUUACCUACUCUUGACAUCCAGAGAACUUAGCAGAGAUGCUUUGGUGCCUUCGGGAACUCUGAGACAGGUGCUGCAUGGCUGUCGUCAGCUCGUGUUGUGAAAUGUUGGAUUAAGGCCCGCAACUAGCGCAACCGUUAUCCUUUGUUGCCAGCGGUUCGGCCGGUGAACUCAAACGAGACUGCCAGUGAUAAACUGGAGGAAGGUGGGGAUGACGUCAAGUCGUUCAUGCAGAUUACGAUUAGGGCUACGCACGAGCUACGAUGGCAUAUACCAAGAGAAGCUACCUCGCGAGAGCAGCGGAGCUCGUAAAGUAUGUCGUAGUCCGGAUUGCAGUCUGCUACUCGACUCCAUGACGUCGGAAUCGCUAGUAAUCGUGGAUCAGAAUGCCACGGUGAAUACGUUCCCGGACCUUGUACACACCGCCCCGUAACAAACU